UACGGGGGGGGCAAGCGUUGUUCGGAAUUACUGGGCGUAAAGGGCUCGUAGGUGGCCAACUAAGUCAGACGUGAAAUCCCUCGGCUUAACCGGGGAACUGCGUCUGAUACUGGAUGGCUUGAGUUUGGGAGAGGGACGCGGAAUUCCAGGUGUAGCGGUGAAAUGCGUAGAUAUCUGGAGGAACACCGGUGGCGAAGGCGGCGUCCUGGACCAACACUGACACUGAUGAGCGAAAAGCCAGGGGGAGCAAAACGGG
rnacentral:rRNA from 1 species